rnacentral:rRNA from 1 species
UAGAGUUUGAUCCUGGCUCAGGAUGAACGCUAGCGGGAGGCUUAACACAUGCAAGCCGAGCGGUAUUUGUUCUUCGGGACAGAGAGAGCGGCGUACGGGUGCGGAACACGUGUGCAACCUGCCUUUAUCAGGGGGAUAGCCUUUCGAAAGGAAGAUUAAUACCCCAUAAUAUAUUAAGUGGCAUCACUUGAUAUUGAAAACUCCGGUGGAUAAAGAUGGGCACGCGCAAGAUUAGAUAGUUGGUAGGGUAACGGCCUACCAAGUCUAUGAUCUUUAGGGGGCCUGAGAGGGUGAUCCCCCACACUGGUACUGAGACACGGACCAGACUCCUACGGGAGGCAGCAGUGAGGAAUAUUGGACAAUGGGUGAGAGCCUGAUCCAGCCAUCCCGCGUGAAGGAUGACGGCCCUAUGGGUUGUAAACUUCUUUUGUAUAGGGAUAAACCUUUCCACGUGUGGAAAGCUGAAGGUACUAUACGAAUAAGCACCGGCUAACUCCGUGCCAGCAGCCCCGGUCAA